GAGUGGGACGGCAGGGGUAGAUUGAGUCUUUUCAGGGAGAAGGGGGUGGCAGGAGUGGAACUGGCUGGGAAGAGCUGCUUGCUGAUUUUCAGCUUGGGUGUUGAAGUGACUUUUGCACACUGGGUUGUUUUUUGCAGCGUGUUGGUGUGGCACUGUAAGAACUGUAUCAGUGGUGUUGUAAAAUGUAUACUCAGUGGAGGAAACAAACACUGCCAGCUGUUUCUUUGGCUUUUGACCAUCCUGUGGUAGAUGUUCUGAUACCACCAGUAGGACAGGACAGCCUGUACGAAGGACCUCCUAUAUGACUGGAAGACCGCAAAUACGAAGUGAUGAAUGAUGGGCAGCCCGAGAAGGGCCCAUUAGACCGAGGACACGACAAAUGGACCGUUUCUAUCGAGAAUGUCAAGAAACGAGAAGGGAUGAAUGAUGAUCAGCAUUAGAAGGACUGUCUACAGUAAAGCACCGGUGGAUUGCCGACAGGAUCAGAGGAUUGUCGAGAAACAAAACGCGGUGAAUGAUCAGCCUCAAAGAUCACUGCCACUCAUCAGAAUUUUGGUCAGGACACUGGGGUUAUCAGUAAGUCUUCCACAAAAGGUCAAAGGAAAAACAGCUGGCAGUGCUUGUUUGAUCCUCUGAUUAUGCAUUUUACAGCAUCAAUUAUGGCAACUUAGUACCAAGAAGGGCAAGG